rnacentral:rRNA from 1 species
UGCCAGCCGCCGCGGUAAGACCGAGGGUGCAAACGUUGCUCGGAAUUACUGGGCGUAAAGCGCGUGUAGGCGGACGGGAAAGUCGGGUGUGAAAUCCCUGGGCUCAACCCAGGAACUGCAUCCGAAACUAUUCGUCUUGAGUACUGGAGAGGGAAGCGGAAUUCCUGGUGUAGAGGUGAAAUUCGUAGAUAUCAGGAGGAACACCGGUGGCGAAGGCGGCUUCCUGGACAGUUACUGACACUGAGGUGCGAAAGCGUGGGGAGCAAACAGGAUUAGAUA